CCUACGGGAGGCAGCAGUGGGGAAUAUUGCACAAUGGGCGCAAGCCUGAUGCAGCCAUGCCGCGUGUGUGAAGAAGGCCUUCGGGUUGUAAAGCACUUUCAGUCGUGAGGAAGGUAGUGUAGUUAAUAGCUGCAUUAUUCGACGUUAGCGACAGAAGAAGCACCGGCUAACUCCGUGCCAGCAGCCGCGGUAAUACGGAGGGUGCGAGCGUUAAUCGGAAUUACUGGGCGUAAAGCGCAUGCAGGUGGUUUGUUAAGUCAGAUGUGAAAGCCCGGGGCUCAACCUCGGAAUUGCAUUUGAAACUGGCAGACUAGAGUACUGUAGAGGGGGGUAGAAUUUCAGGUGUAGCGGUGAAAUGCGUAGAGAUCUGAAGGAAUACCGGUGGCGAAGGCGGCCCCCUGGACAGAUACUGACACUCAGAUGCGAAAGCGUGGGAGCAAACAGGAUUAGAUACCCUGGUAGUCCACGCCGUAAACGAUGUCUACUUGGAGGUCGUGGCCUUGAGCCGUGGCUUUCGGAGCUAACGCGUUAAGUAGACCGCCUGGGGAGUACGGUCGCAAGAUUAAAACUCAAAUGAAUUGACGG
rnacentral:rRNA from 1 species